AGUGGCAACAUUUUUGACUCCUAUGAAUAAAGGACCUGUCUUUUAAUGUCAAAUCUAGCCUUUAUUUAACAACAUAAGCAAACUCUAUGUUACAAUGAUUGCACAGCCAUUAAGGAUCAAAUCAAUGUUCUGUUUUUUCUCCCUCUGCUUGCUUCUUACUGUCUUUGAGGCUCGGGACCAGCACUCCUGCUGUUGGACAGAAAGACAUCAGUAAGUGUUUUGGUUUUCCAAUAUAUUAGCAACUGUCAGUGACAUUUAUAUUAAUCAGGCUGAACUUUAAUCAUACUUUAGAUCAGCCUGUUUAUUGUUUUAUUUGUGCUUUGGUUUGGGGAAGUUGUUUCUUUACUGAUCUUUUCCUGUCUUCUGUUAUUAGACUUGAGAUAUGACUGCACUAUGCUGUUGCUGGUGACCACAGUUAAUUCUACAAGACAUGCUGUGACACCAGGAGGGAUGAGUCCUCCGUCACAGAUGGUGUGGUCAGUGAAGAUGGUCGCCUGCAGGUUCAAGCUCAUUGCAUCUCCAACCCACAUCCACUGCCACUGUACUUAAGGGAAGUUAAAAACUUUCUUCUGCACCUACAUUUGGAUCACCUCGAUCCAUGACAGUCAUUCAGGCAGUAAUGCCUGGACUGGAAACAAGCAUCCUUAAAAUAAUACAACAUUCCAGCUCAUGUGUUGGAAUGGAAAACAAAUGUGUUGUUUAAAUUAGAGACUGCACUUGUGACAGAACAAUAAAUAUUUUAUUUUGAUUAUGUAAGUAAUGUAAGUACAAAACAAACUGUGGUAGACCUAAACUUAUUUUCAGGAUAAUUACAUCUGAGACUUUGUUUCAUUGUAAGAUUAUAACAGUGAUGGCAAUAUAAUUGUUUGUUGUUCAGCAGAACAGUGUCCAGUAUGUUGGCUGUUGUACUUUGUUGUGUUUGAAAAUAAAAGUUGGGCUGAUUUUAACAUCAUUACAAAAAGUGUUGUUAAUUAUUUUUAAUCAUAUUCAGGUUACCACAAAUUGUUUUUUCAUUUAGUUGAACUUGAAAUGUUUGUCAGUAGGUAAACAAUUAGUAUUGUACAGUCAGAAAUAUCAAGUUAUUCUUAAUACUGCAGACUUGCAAUGUAUAAGUUGUCCUAACAGUCAUCUCAAGUAAGCUUUACUUAGUUUUUUUGAGGCAACGAGUUUCCUCAAUUUUUUUGAGUUCUGGGAACUGACACGGCUGUACAGUGUACUCAAAAUGAGUAAGUUGCCCUA
rnacentral:lncRNA from 1 species